UUCCUAGAGAUGUGAGGUCUAUGGUAAAUUGCUUAGGAUCCUCGGAGAUGACAUAUGCAUAAGAUACUGCUGUUAAUGCACAACACAGCUCAGAUAAUAAUUAUGUGAAGCAAAGCUCUCAAAAAGGAAAAUCUCUGUUUUGUUUUCCUGUUUGUUUUGGGGGUUUUGUCAUCUGUUCUCUAUCUCCCUCACCCUUUCACAGCAAAAACACAACUUGAACACCUCUGCAGAGUUAGAUAUAUAGCUUCACCUUCAAACUGAAAAUUGGAAGUGUUUUUCCCUCCAAACAGCCCCUUCAAAAGCUUUUGAGCUUGAGGUCUGUUCCCUCAAAGAGGUUUCAGUGGGAGAAGUGACACUAAAACCCUUCCCCUCAUUGACAGUAAUUACAUCCUUUCCCCUGCUUCUCCUCACUUACCUGGGCUCAUGGUGAAAGCUCACUGCGACCACUCUAAGGAAAUUCUGUUAUGUGCUGACAUUUACCAGGUGACAACGAGGUCGGGUCAGGUGUUUGAUACCCCAGCCUUUGCAGGUAAUUAUCAGGUAGUAUUACAGGUAACAGGCUCAGCACAUUUCAAGGGGUUAUGAUGAAGCAGCUCUCUUACUUGUCUAAGCUUUUUCUCAAUGUUUUUUAAAGGGGCAAGUGGAAUUUUAAUCCUAAUCCUAUGCUUCUCAUGGUCAAAUUUAGGGGGUAUUUCUUUUGCAAUUUAAAAAACCCACAUGAAUAAAAAUAAGUGGGUUUGUGAGCCCAGGAAGGUGAUACUCUGUAAUAUCUCUGAGUGGGAAAAAUAUUCUGUGAGGUUUUGAUAUUUGCCACCAGAUUUCUUCUCUGAUGUUAGCAGAUCAAUCCCCAUUCUCCAAAUCUUCUUAAAACCUCAAACGAGUGCUGCUUUCAACUCUUGAAAGAAAAAGCUACCCACUUUCUGUUUUCUCUUCUAUGUCCAGAAAACAGUCCAACAGAAGCUUCUUAAAUCAACGAGAAGCUUCACUUGGGAUUAGAGUAUCAGCCCGUGGAUCUGACCAGACUGGAGUUAAAUUACAUUUCAAAACAACAUUUUAAAUACUACAAUCACCAUUUCUGAGUCUGUUCGCAUGGAUUUCGAGGAAAGAAGAAGAAGAAGAAAAGAAGAAAAAAAAAAACUUUCGAAAUCAUGCUGGAAGCUUUGAAAGCGAUCCCGCAGGCAGGCUUUGCUGCCGUGCUUUGCAUUUGCCGGCCGGGUGCUGGGUGCCGAAACCAGAGGCUCACUGACACCCAGCGGCUGCCGCGGAGAGCGCAGCGCCCGCCCCGACGCCCCGGUGAUGGGCACGGCAAAAGUUUCUGCUGGCCUUCAGCAGGGCCCUCUGCUUUUGGUUAGUCGGCCCUGGGUGCAUUGAGAAGCAAGGAGAGCUUGCUGCCUAAAGUCUAGCUGCAAAGGGUCUGCUGCCCCGGUGAGGAGUUGCCUUUCUGAUGCGUGCAAAUCGCGUGCACCGGUUACCCGCACGGCAGGGGUAAAUCCUCCGUAGCUCUGUAGGCGUUGGGCUUCUCAUCACCUGGUGUGCGCGGCUGGGAUUGUAAGGGUGGGGGGUAUCAGGGAAACGGCUACCAGUGAGAAAAAAAAAAAAAUAAAAUAAAUAAAAAAUUAAAAUAAAAAAAAAAAAAAAGAAGAAGAAGAAGGGGUAAGAAAAGCACAGGAGGCAGAGGCACAGGGAAGGAAAAAUGGUUUAAAAUUAAAAGUAAAGCAAAUAGUCAACUUCCACUUCAUUGAUCAUUAUGAACCUGAGGCAAAAUAGUUAUGUGUAGAAGACAAAUCAAGUAGCCACAGAAGCUGAGCCUUAGAAGUCAGUAUCAACUGGUCUUUAUUCUCAAAACCUCAG